AGGGUUGCUAUGUUUGCAUUGUCUCUGGAUACUGUGAAGGUGGAGAUAUGGCUGAGUUGAUGAAGAAAUCCAAUGGGGUUUAUUUUCCCGAGGAGAAACUAUGCAGGUGGUUCACGCAGCUACUCUUGGCAGUUGAAUACCUGCAUGAAAAUUAUGUUCUACAUCAUGAUCUAAAA